rnacentral:rRNA from 1 species
AGAGUUUGAUCCUGGCUCAGGAUGAACGCUGGCGGCGUGCUUAACACAUGCAAGUCGAACGAACGACUAUUAACAGAACCUUUCGGGGCGAAGAUGAUAGAAGUUAGUGGCGGACGGGUGCGUAACGCGUGGGUAAUCUGCCUUUGUCAAAGGAAUAACUAUUCGAAAGAAUAGCUAAAACCGUAUAACAUAUUAAUAGGGCAUCCUAAUAAUAUCAAAACGAUAGUGGACAAAGAUGAGCCCGCGUCUGAUUAGCUAGUUGGUGAGAUAAAAGCCCACCAAGGCAACGAUCAGUAGCCGACCUGAGAGGGUGAACGGCCACAUUGGAACUGAGACACGGUCCAAACUCCUACGGGAGGCAGCAGUGGGGAAUAUUGCACAAUGGGGGGAACCCUGAUGCAGCAACGCCGCGUGAGUGAAGAAGGCAUUCGUGUCGUAAAACUCUGUAGUAGGGGAAGAAAGAAAUGACAGUACCCUAAAAGAAAGCCCCGGCUAACUACGUGCCAGCAGCCGCGGUAAUACGUAGGGGGCAAGCGUUAUCCGGAUUUACUGGGUGUAAAGGGAGCGUAGACGGAAUGGCAAGUCUGAAGUGAAAUACCCGGGCUCAACCUGGGAACUGCUUUGGAAACUGUUGUUCUAGAGUGUUGGAGAGGUAAGUGGAAUUCCUGGUGUAGCGGUGAAAUGCGUAGAUAUCAGGAAGAACACCGGAGGCGAAGGCGGCUUACUGGACAAUAACUGACGUUGAGGCUCGAAAGCGUGGGGAUCAAACAGGAUUAGAUACCCUGGUAGUCCACGCUGUAAACGAUGAAUACUAGGUGUCGGGGUGCAAAGCAUCUCGGUGCCGUCGCUAACGCAAUAAGUAUUCCACCUGGGGAGUACGUUCGCAAGAAUGAAACUCAAAGGAAUUGACGGGGACCCGCACAAGCGGUGGAGCAUGU